AAAUAAAUCUAAAUCAGCAUUUAAACUAUGGGGCAUAAGGUUCUGAAGCUUAUACACCAAUUCCAUUUCAGUUCUUCCAAGAAUGUUUUUUAUGUCUCCUCCUCUCCAAGGAGUAGUGCAUUUUUUUAUACCCAUACAUUUUAACAUUCUUGGAUCUUUAUUAUGUUUGAUAAAAUGUUUGGACACUAAAUGAUUCAGAUAUCCAUUUUUAAUGUUUCUGCAGCGUUCACUUAAUCUUAUUUUCAAGCACCUUCUGGUCAUUCCAACAUACUGGAGGCCAC